GAUGAAGAACGCAGCGAAAUGCGAUAAGUAAUGUGAAUUGCAGAAUUCAGUGAAUCAUCGAAUCUUUGAACGCACAUUGCGCCCGCCAGCAUUCUGGCGGGCAUGCCUGUUCGAGCGUCAUUUCAACCCUCGAGCCCCCCCCGGGGGCCUCGGUGUUGGGGGACGGCACACCAGCCGCCCCCGAAAUGCAGUGGCGACCCCGCCGCAGCCUCCCCUGCGUAGUAGCACACACCUCGCACCGGAGCGCGGAGGCGGUCACGCCGUAAAACGCCCAACUUUCUUAGAGUUGACCUCGGAUCAGGUAGGAAUACCCGCUGAACUUAGGCAUAUCAAUAAGCGGAGGA
rnacentral:misc_RNA from 1 species